rnacentral:rRNA from 1 species
GACGAACGCUGGCGGCGUGCUUAACACAUGCAAGUCGAACGGACAGGCCCUGCUUUUGUGGGGUGCUCGAGUGGCGAACGGGUGAGUAACACGUGAGUAACCUGCCCUUGACUUUGGGAUAACUUCAGGAAACUGGGGCUAAUACCGGAUAGGAGCUCCUGCUGCAUGGUGGGGGUUGGAAAGUUUCGGCGGUGGGGGAUGGACUCGCGGCUUAUCAGCUCGUUGGUGGGGUAGUGGCUUACCAAGGCUUUGGCGGGUAGCCGGCCUGGGAGGGGGACCGGCCACAAUGGGACUGAGGGACGGCCCAGAAGCGUACGGGAGGCAGCAGGGGGGAGUAUGGCGGAAUGGGCGGAAGCCUGAUGCAGCAACGCCGCGUGCGGGAUGACGGCCUUCGGGUUGUAAACCGCUGUCGCCGGUGACGAAGCGGGAGUGACGGUAAUGGGUAAGGAAGCACCGGCUAACUACGUG